AAAGAAAGUUAAUUAAAAAAUUUAAAAGAUACAUGAAAAAAUAAUUAUUACACAAAUUUAAAUAUUACAACAACAUUAAUAGUCUAGUAAAUUUUCUCUCGAACCUCCAAAAUCUCUAAAGCAUUGUCCAAAUUUGUUUUUUGUAAAAUAGAAGAUGGAGCAUUACAAAUUAAAUUUUAUGAAAAUGUUGUAUUAUACUUGUAGUUAAAUAUUUAGUUAUGUAUUUCUAUUUAUAAUUUUAUAUAUUUAGUGUAAGAUUUUAUUCAUUAAUAUUACCUUAAUAUUUUUAGGUAUGUACUAGUUAUUUAUAAAAGUUUAAUAGAUUUAUAUUAAUUACAAUAAAUAUAAGGAUCAUAAUAUAAAAUACAAAUAAUUAUGAACUUAAGUUUAAAGUUUUGCUUUCGGACAAGAGCAUUUUGAAACUUCAAAUUUAGAAUUUUACAAAUUUUAAAAUAGAGAGUCUUUUUGGAGAUAGUCUUAGAGGCGCAAAGUUUUUUUUUCUCGUCAGUUUCUUAUAUUGAUUUGUACAUUGGAAAUAAUCGGUAAUUAUAGGACGUAUGAGUAUUGGAAAGCAGAGUAGAGUUGGUGAAAUAGUACUUUGGUUAUGUAAAGUGUAAACGGAAUCUAGGUGAAUGGGUUGAUGGAAAAGAAUUUUAAUGCUUUGAUCACUGAAAUCUAGGCGAGCGUAUUUUGCUGCUACCAAGUAUCUGAAUGACCAAUCCAAGGUCGUGCAGUUAAUUAAUGAUUCAAAAUUAAUUUACUUCUGAUAUGUACUAUAAUGGAAGAACUAUUUUUGUCUACACAUAAUUAUGAUAUAUCAAUAUGGGCUGAAGAAAGCCCAAGCCAAAUGCUUUGUCAUAACCUACUUGAAAAAUGUUAGGGGCUUAUUGGAUCUGUGAUCCGGAGUAAGUUUACUCUCCUGAGGGCUCCACAUCAAAUUCCAGGUCAGAAACUCAAGUUUCCUUGUGCUGACACGUGUCCGAGAAAUAUGAAACUCAUCGUUUCAUUUACUUUACUUGGAAAUCGGAUGGGCUUAUAUAUCGUUAAGCGUAUAUUUGGUUUGGUCAUUUUAUUGGCUUCGUUGGGCUUCAUGUUUUAUCCAAGUCUUCGAUCCCGGUAGCAAGUUAGGCUUAUCGUCUCCAAACCAAAUUUUAGGGUUCGCAAUCCUCUUCGAUCUCCAACAACGACGAUGUUCAUAUGCGCUCACCACACCAACAAUGGAGGAUCUCCGUGUUUCUCUUCAAUCACCUAGACAUUCUUUUCUACAAACCGUUACGGGAUGCUUUGAUUCAUCUUCAUUAAUGACCGUCUUAACUCAUUCGGCCACUCAAAACACGUUUCCUCAUUCAUUGCAUCUUCCCUUUGUACAAGGAGGUGAAUCUACAGCUAUAAAAAGUUUAGCUUUCAUCAUGUGAACAUCAUUCUCACAAUCCUAAUAAUGGAGCAUUCAACGAUUCCAGUUUUUUGUUUUCAAUUCUUCUUGCCUGAUCUCUUUUUUGGUUAUGUGAGUGUUCGUUGUGUAAUUGAUCAUAUCAUGCUGUAUUACAAUAGCAGAGUCUUUCCUACGGCUUCAAGUUUUUAAGGAAUUGAUAUCAAUCUCGCUUAUGGAUUUCAGACUUACGACUUCCACUUCUUUCAAUCAAGGUAUUUAUUUGCAGCGAUUAAUUUGUCUCUUAAUUUUAUCAUUAAAACUGUAAAUAAGGGAGUUUGAGCGCUGGAUAUGAAGGGUCUUUAAAAAAUACGUGUUUGCGGAAGGGGAAGAAGAUUCUGGAGGAGAAAUUGAUAAGUUUGAAGUCAAGCUUUCUAGAAGAAAGAAUUGGAUCACAGGUUAGUCUAAACUUCAUGAAUAAUAUGCGUCUGGGAUUUUAUGUCUCUUUGUGGGACAGGUUACUUUGCUCUCUAAGCAGUAUAAGUAGAACUUUGAAGCAUAGAUCUUUUUUGGUUAUUGUGAUUUCAACCAUCUGUUCUUCAUAUUUUGUUUACACAUUUUUCAUUCUAGAAUGGAGACUUUAAUCAGAUCAAACAAAUCAACCACACAAAUUUUGUAGAUAUUGUUUUGUUGUAGCAUUCGUUUUACUUUGCACUUGAAGUUGUGAUGCUGGUUGCUACCUCGCGGUCGCGAUUAAACUACGAUUUCACGACAUCGGUUUUAUGCCAUACGCCAGCUUAGACUGAGAUGGAAACUUUCAUUUGCUUAAAGUAUUAGGUCUUCAAACUUCAUAUCCUGUUUAUAUCUUUGGUAUCUUCGUUUCCAGAAAUUGAUGUUUCUCAUUCAGAUGGCUUUGUCUGGGUUUCAAUUGACUGAAUGGAAUAAGCAGUCUUCUGCGAAGGAGGUCAUGCACAGGACUCAAAGAGACAUGUAUGUUCAUGAAAGAAACAAUGAAGGUUCACAUGUAAGGCUUUGACCCACAGCCACUGGGUGGCGCCGGUCCAUCAGCAGCGCCGAGCUCAAAGGCAGUUAAAAGACGCUAAUGAAGUCAAGAAUCUAACGUUUGUCACUUAGGAAGACUGCUAACGACUUUGACGAAGUUAUCAGGUAAUAAUUCUUUUCGCCAUGACAUGCAUUGGUGGAAGGAGGAGGAUUCUGCAUCAUCUUCUUUGCUUCAAGUUUUUCCUUUGGUUUGCUUCAGAGUCAAGGAAAGGCAGCGUUAACAUUUAUCUCUUGAACAAGCAGCCAUAGAAUUCUGACAAAGAAAUUCAAUGCAACUCAGGAAAUGUUAAUCAGAUUGUGAAACGCAAAAGAAUAUGCUGGUUUCAAGUAUGCUUUGGAAACUUUGUUAGAGACUCUUGAUAUGACUUGGUUUCAAAAUAUUAAGUUUACGAUCCA